GCUCCCGUGGUGUAGCUGGACAAUCACACGGCCCUUUCGAGGCCGGGACCCGAGUUCGAAUCUCGGCGGGAGCA
rnacentral:tRNA from 1 species